UCAUCGUUGUCUUUCUCUCAACGGCUCACCCUUCAGUCUCUUUCUCUGAACGCUUCCAUCCAUCACCGGAACCCUUCCAUUCAUCGUACCAUCCAUCGCAAUGCUUCCAUUGAUCGUACCAUACCGUCGGAAUCAAGCGCGAACGAAGGUCUUCGGAAAACUCCGUCACGGCCGGACAAUCAAAAUCUAGGUAUAAAUCCUCAUACUCCAUUAGCUAGGGCAUUUCUAUCCGGUGAGAGUAGUGGUUUAGGGCAGUGAAGAUGGAGAUGAGGAGGCCGGUAGUGAUGGUGGUUGAGGGAUGGAGUGAGGAAGCCGGUAGUGAUGGUUGUUGAGGGAUGGAGAGAGAGAGAGAGCGAGAGAAAGAUGGAGAUGAGGAGGCCGGUAGUGAUGGUGGUUGAGGGAUGGAGUGAGGAGGCCGGUAGUGAUGGUGGUUGAGAGAGAGAGAGAGAGAGAGUGAGUGAUGAGCGGUAGUGGGAAGACUGAGAGGACUUGGUUCGUUCUCGACCCCUGGUUCUUCCCGGCGCUCUCGGCUCUCUUGCUCCGCCCUCACCGCCCUCACGAUCCCGCCAAUGACGACCAUGAGUGAUGAUGGAGAGAGGACGUGCCCCCUCUGUGCGGAGGAGAUGGACAUCACUGACCAGCAACUGAAACCUUGCAAAUGUGGAUAUGAGGUGGAUGGGAUGAUGUUUUGACGAUCAAAAUGAUGAAUUCAGAAGACAUGGAUCAUUUGAAUCUGACACAGCAACAAAAGUUUUAGAGUUUUCAUUUCCGAGUUUUCGUUUCUCCAAUUGUAUGCUUAAGAAUGGUUUCUAUUAGUAUUGCCUACAAAGUUGUUGUGCUAGAGUGGAGAAAUAGUGUUAUUUUGGUAAAUUACCUCCCUCUAAUGCUUGUCUGAGUUUUUUUUUUUCCACAUGAUUACUAGGAUGUUAUGAAAAAUGCCUACAUAGAUUCUUCUUUUAUGGAUUAGAGUGUUUAUGUUCCUUUGAUAGCUGACUUUGGAUGCCUGUGAGCUUUUCUAUAGAAGUGUAUGGUUUUGUGUUUUGUUUUAUCACUAGUCUUUUUGUAACUCUUUGGUAAAUUGACCAGACUUUUUUGAUC